CCCUUAGAUGUCCUGGGCCGCACGCGCGCUACACUGAUGCAUUCAACGAGUUUCACCUUGGCCGAGAGGCCUGGGCAAUCUUUUAAACCUGCAUCGUGAUAGGGAUAGAUUAUUGAAAUUAUUAAUCUUGAACGAGGAAUUCCUAGUAAACGCAGAUCAUCAAUCUGCAUUGAUUACGUCCCUGCCCUUUGUACACACCGCCCGUCGCACCUACCUAUUGGAUGGUCCGGUGAAGCCUCGGGAUUGUGGUUCUUGCCGCUUUAUUGUGGCGUGACCGCGAGAACUUGUCUAAACCUUAUCAUCUAGAGGAAGGUGAAGUCGUAACA
rnacentral:rRNA from 1 species